UACGAAGGUUGCUAGCGUUGUUCGGAAUCACUGGGCUUAAAGCGCAUGUAGGCGGCUCAUCAAGUGCCUUGUGAAAUCCCACGGCUCAACCGUGGAAUUGCUUGGUAUACUGUUCGAGCUUGAGGCAGGUAGGGGCACGUGGAACUCUUGGUGGAGCGGUGGAAUGCGUAGAUAUCAAGAGGAACGCCGGUGGCGAAAGCGGCGUGCUGGGCCUGUCCUGACGCUGAGAUGCGAAAGCCAGGGGAGCAAACGGG
rnacentral:rRNA from 1 species